rnacentral:rRNA from 1 species
ACGCUGGCGGCGUUGCUUAACACAUGCAAGUCGAACGGUAAGGCCCUUCGGGGUACACGAGUGGCGAACGGGUGAGUAACACGUGGGUGAUCUGCCCUGCACUUCGGGAUAAGCCUGGGAAACUGGGUCUAAUACCGGAUAGGACUCCUGGCUUCAUGGUUGGGGGUGUAAAGCUUUUGCGGUGUGGGAUGGGCCCGCGGCCUAUCAGCUUGUUGGUAGGGUAAUGGCCUACCAAGGCGACGACGGGUAGCCGGCCUGAGAGGGUGACCGGCCACACUGGGACUGAGAUACGGCCCAGACUCCUACGGGAGGCAGCAGUGGGGAAUAUUGCACAAUGGGCGCAAGCCUGAUGCAGCGACGCCGCGUGAGGGAUGACGGCCUUCGGGUUGUAAACCUCUUUCAAUAGGGACGAAGCGCAAGUGACGGUACCUAUAGAAGAAGGACCGGCCAACUACGUG